rnacentral:rRNA from 1 species
UAUUGCACAAUGGGGGAAACCCUGAUGCAGCGACGCCGCGUGAAGGAAGAAGUAUUUCGGUAUGUAAACUUCUAUCAGCAGGGAAGAAAAAGACGGUACCUGAGUAAGAAGCCCCGGCUAACUACGUGCCCGCAGACGCGGUAAUACGUAGGGGGCAAGCGUUAUCCGGAUUUACUGGGUGUAAAGGGAGCGUAGACGGUAAUGUAAGUCUGAUGUGAAAGCCCGGGGCUCAACCCCGGGACUGCAUUGGAAACUAUGUAACUAGAGUACCGGAGAGGUAAGCGGAAUUCCUAGUGUAGCGGUGAAAUGCGUAGAUAUUAGGAGGAACACCAGUGGCGAAGGCGGCUUACUGGACGGAAACUGACGUUGAGGCUCGAAAGCGUGGGGAGCAAACAGG